UACAGAGGGGGCAAGCGUUAUUCGGAAUUAUUGGGCGUAAAGGGCGCGUAGGCGGCAUGGCAAGUGGAUGGUGAAAUCCCUCGGCUUAACCGAGGAACUGCCGUCCAAACUGCUUCGCUUGAGACCGGGAGAGGUGAGUGGAAUUCCCAGUGUAGCGGUGAAAUGCGUAGAUAUUGGGAGGAACACCAGUGGCGAAGGCGGCUCACUGGACCGGUACUGACGCUGAUGCGCGAAAGCGUGGGGAGCAAAAGGG
rnacentral:rRNA from 1 species